rnacentral:lncRNA from 1 species
GUCCUUAUUAUGGCCACCAGACAGGCAGAAUCCCCUUUCUCCAAGUUGGCCCAUCAGCAGGAAAGGUUCAGGCAACCCGUGUCCCAAAGCAAGAAGGCAUGCUCCAGGCCCUUUCUCUGCACCCCCACCCCAGACCAGGCAGAGGUGGUCCCUUCUCUACACACACACACACCCCAGCAGGUGGUCCCUUCUCUCCACCCCACGUGGGGCAGAGAUAACCUCUUCUGGAGAGAGCAGGUGGCUCGAGUGCAGUUCUGCGAUUUUAUUUUUCCUGGGAUACUCAAGGGGAUGUGGGAACAGCCACAGGUGUGGUGAGGGAAAGGCCCCGUCUCCCCUCCCCAGCCGCUGGGAAAGGGGAGAGGCCCAGGGGCCCUGGUCCUGGGUUGGUCCAGCCACUGUGCUCCCUGGGUCCUGUAGGCAGAGGACUGAGGGUGGAGCCCUGGGAGGAUGGGGUGGGCUCCUAGGCGGGGUUGGGGAUUCUUCAUAAAAAGCCACGGAGCUUGAUCCCCCACGAAGCCCAGCCCCGCGGGGUUGGGGGGACGCAGAGCCCAGAUGGAGGACCCGGCCCGGCCUGGCCCGUGGGGGAGAAUAAUGGCAGAGAUGGUGCCCGUGGGGAGAAGGUGGGGACGAAGCGUCGGACCAGGAAGGUGGGCUUCCAGGUGAGGGGCACGGGGCGGAGAGGCACGGCCCCUAGCCCAGCCCGGGCGCCUUCGCGUGGGGUCAGGACGGUAAAAAACCCACGAGAGUGCGACGGGCAGGGAGGGGCCGGGCGUGCGGUGCCGGCGGGGCGGGCGCACGGGGCUGCCCGCGUUCACAGUGACCUCGACGCUGGGUGUACAGUACGGGUAGAAAACCGCAGGCCCGGGCCGGGCCUGGCGGGCCGGGCGGGCCGGGCGGGUCACAGCCUGGUCUGGGCCUCGGGGAUGUAGAUCUCGAUGCUGUCGGCACUCUCGGUGGCCGAGCUGUGGCGGAAGGAGGCGGCGCGCUUUGCCGCCAGAAGCCGCUUGCGCGCUUCCUGCCGCUGCCUGUCCACGGAAUCCAGGGAGCGCUCCUUCACCGGCACGCCCCGGCCCCGCGAGGGCUUCUUUGGUAUCGGCGGAGGGACCUUCUUCUCCUCCUGUCGGGAGAGCGCGGUGGUGAGCUCAGCGCCGGAACCACCCCCAGCAUCCGGGUUCGCGCCCCC